rnacentral:rRNA from 1 species
CCUACGGGUGGCAGCAGUGAGGAAUAUUGGUCAAUGGACGCGAGCCUGAACCAGCCAAGUCGCGUGAGGGAAGACUGCCCUAUGGGUUGUAAACCUCUUUUAUUCGGGAAUAAUACGCCUUACGAGUAGCGUUAUGCCUGUACUGAAUGAAUAAGCAUCGGCUAACUCCGUGCCAGCAGCCGCGGUAAUACGGAGGAUGCGAGCGUUAUCCGGCUUUAUUGGGUUUAAAGGAGGCGUAGGCGGCCUGUUAAGUUAGUGGUAAAAUGUGGGGGCUAAACCCCGGAUUGCCAUUGAUACUGGCAGGCUGGAGUACAGACGAGGUAGGCGGAAUAAGUCGAGUAGCGGUGAAAUGCUUAGAUAUGACGAAGAACUCCGAUAGCGAAGGCAGCUUACCAGGCUGAGACUGACGCUGAAGCACGAGAGCGUGGGUAGCGAACAGGAUUAGAUACCCCUGUAGUC